rnacentral:rRNA from 1 species
CGCUGGCGGCGCGCCUAACACAUGCAAGUCGAACGAGAAUCCGGGGCAACCCGGUAGUAAAGUGGCAAACGGGUGAGGAAUACAUGGGUAACCUACCCUUGAGAAGGGAAUAACCCGCCGAAAGGUGAGCUAAUACCCUAUACGCUAUCUUUUUUUCGAAAAGGAUAGGAAAGCCGGGUCGAGGACCUGGUACUCAAGGAGGGGCUCAUGUCCUAUCAGCUUGUUGGUGGGGUAACGGCCUACCAAGGCUACGACGGGUAGCUGGUCUGAGAGGAUGAUCAGCCACACUGGCACUGAGAUACGGGCCAGACUCCUACGGGAGGCAGCAGUGGGGAAUUUUGGACAAUGGGCGAAAGCCUGAUCCAGCCAUGCCGCGUGAGUGAAGAAGGCCUUCGGGUUGUAAAGCUCUUUCAGGUGGAAAGAAAGCGGAUGGGCUAAUACCCUGUUCGGAUGACGGUACCACCAGAAGAAGCACCGGCUAACUACGUG